UACGUAGGGUGCAAGCGUUGUCCGGAAUUAUUGGGCGUAAAGGGCUCGUAGGCGGUUUGUCGCGUCGGGAGUGAAAACCCAGGGCUUAACCCUGGGCUGGCUUUCGAUACGGGCAGACUAGAGGUAUGCAGGGGAGAACGGAAUUCCUGGUGUAGCGGUGAAAUGCGCAGAUAUCAGGAGGAGCACCGGUGGCGAAGGCGGGUCUCUGGGCAGUAACUGACGCUGAGGAGCGAAAGCGUGGGGAGCGAACAGG
rnacentral:rRNA from 1 species